rnacentral:rRNA from 1 species
UACGUAGGUGGCAAGCGUUGUCCGGAAUUAUUGGGCGUAAAGCGCGCGCAGGCGGUCCUUUAAGUCUGAUGUGAAAGCCCACGGCUUAACCGUGGAGGGUCAUUGGAAACUGGGGGACUUGAGUACAGAAGAGGAGAGUGGAAUUCCACGUGUAGCGGUGAAAUGCGUAGAGAUGUGGAGGAACACCAGUGGCGAAGGCGACUCUCUGGUCUGUAACUGACGCUGAGGCGCGAAAGCGUGGGUAGCGAACAGG